rnacentral:lncRNA from 1 species
UGCAUCUACUGUCACAAUAAAUAUCAUAUUAGGUCAUAUAUGCAACUUCUGACACAAUAAAUGUCCUAUUAGGCCAGUUAUACUUCUACUGACACAAUAAAUGUCCUAUUAGGUCAAUUAUGCAACUACUGUCACAAUAAAUGUCCUAUUAGGUCAAUUAUGCAACUACUGUCACAAUAAAUGUCCUAUUAGGUCAGUUAUGCAACUACUGACACAGUAUAUGUCCUAUUAGGUCAGUUAUGCAUCUACUGUCACAAUAAAUAUCCUAUUAGGUCAGUUAUGCAACUUCUGACACAAUAAAUGUCCUAUUAGGUCAGUUAUACUUCUACUGUCACAAUAAAUGUCAUAUUAGGUCAGUUAUGCAUCUUCUGUCACAAUAAAUGUCAUAUUAGGUCAGUUAUGCAUCUACUGUCACAAUAAAUGUCCUAUUAGGUCAGUUAUGUAACUACUGUCACAAUAAAUGUCCUAUUAGGUCAGUUAUACUUCUACUGUCACAAUAAAUGUCAUAUUAGGUCUGUUAUACAACUACUGUCACAAUAAAUGUCCUAUUAGGUCAGUUAUGCAACUACUGACACAGUAUAUCCCAUUUUAAGGUCAUUAAUGCAUUUAAUGAAGCAAUAUAAUUACCAUAUUGGUUCAGUAAUUCCCCAUGUUACAAAUUUAGCUUGAAAACUCCAAUUCAAUAUGGUACUAAAUUUCGAAAGUCUAAAUGGGAUUAUUUGUACUAGCCCACUUAAUAGAACACUUGUUGUUCUAAUUUAUUAAUUUUUAGUUUUGACGCCCACAAUAACUUCACUAUUUCAGUUGUCUGCUAAUACUUGUGGCCUGUUUUAACAACUAAGCUCUGAUUAAAUGACCUUAAUACUAUUCCAAAUUUGUGGAGUCAUCACAAUUCAGACCAAUCAAAUCACAGAAUUUUUCAGUUAGAAAGAUCAUUUUAGUUUUUUUAUUCCCACAACUUUUGAAUUCUUUUUUAUCAGCUCAAUGUCAUAAUUUCAGAGACAGGUGCCCUCAGCUUCGCUGAACUCUAAACAAACCCUAAAGUUGAAUUGCUCAAACUUUUAUCAAAUAGUUAAAUUUUGAUGAAUGUACACAAAAACGGAAUGCUGCCUGGAGACUCACUUCUAUUAGCCACACCGCCCUGAGAGGCUGGUGAGGCUGUAAAGGUGUUCACUGGUCUCGGAGUUAUAGAGACUGGCCACAUGGCAAAAAGGGAUAAUACCCGUGGCCACUCGAGCCGUAUGCCAAGGAAGUCAAAUAAGGUUUAAAGAGUUUACAGACAUAUAUAAAAUAUCAACAAAUAUAUACACACUUAUAAAACUGUAUCUGGUACACAUCCAUACACAUUCUCUCGUCUCACUCUUCUGGAUUAUCUCCCCUGGUAAGACACUUGCGAUAACAUGAACUAUUUACAAUGAAACACACUGAAAUAUCAACAAAUGGUCACUUAAAUUAAAUAUCUAUUUGCAUCAUGAUCAAACGUUUUCAAAGUCACAUGGUCCAUUUGCUUGAUGUCCAGAGGUCAUAUCCUUUACUUACUCAACUAUUCCAACCGAGUUCAAAUGUGUCAUUAGGGGGGAAUGAGUUAAAUGCCUACCAAGGGUAACAUAACAAUAUUUAAAUUAAGACUUAUUUCAUUAUUACUUUAAACUG